rnacentral:tRNA from 2 species
AUUUAUAUAAUAUAACUAGUAUAUUUGACUUCCAAUCAAAAAGUUAAAAUUUAUUUUAUAUAAAUA